rnacentral:rRNA from 1 species
GAUGAACGCUGGCGGCGUGCCUAAUACAUGCAAGUCGAGCGAACAGAUGAGGAGCUUGCUCCUCUGACGUUAGCGGCGGACGGGUGAGUAACACGUGGAUAACCUACCUAUAAGACUGGGAUAACUUCGGGAAACCGGAGCUAAUACCGGAUAAUAUAUUGAACCGCAUGGUUCAAUAGUGAAAGACGGUUUUGCUGUCACUUAUAGAUGGCUACGCGCCGCAUUAGCUAGUUGGCAAGGUAACGGCUUACCAAGGCAACGAUGCGUAACCGACCUGAGAGGGUGAUCGGCCACACUGGAACUGAGAAACGGUCCAGACUCCUACGGGAGGCAGCAGUAGGGAAUCUUCCGCAAUGGGCGAGAGCCUGACGGAGUAACGCCGCGUGAGGGAUGAAGGUCUUCGGAUCGUAAAACUCUGUUAUUAGGGAAGAACAAAUGUGUAAGUAACUAUGCACGUCUUGACGGUACCGAAUCAGAAAGCCACGGCUAACUACGUG